UACAGAGGUCUCAAGCGUUGUUCGGAUUCAUUGGGCGUAAAGGGUGCGCAGGCGGCGCGGUAAGUCGGGUGUGAAAUCUCGGAGCUUAACUCCGAAACUGCAUUCGAUACUGCCGUGCUUAAGGACUGGAGAGGAGACUGGAAUUUACGGUGUAGCGGUGAAAUGCGUAGAUAUCGUAAGGAAGACCAGUGGCGAAGGCGGUUCUCUGGACAGUUCCUGACGCUGAGGCACGAAGGUCAGGGGAGCAAACGGG
rnacentral:rRNA from 1 species